GUUAAAUUGUUAUUCAUUGUCCAUUAAUGUCAACAAAUUGAAGCUUAUUGUGCAGUGUUCCCAUUUUCUUACCGAAAACUAUUAGAAACA